AGAGUUACGUAAACAGAGUACGCUUUUUGCGCAACUACCAUGAACGUCAAUAGAAGUUACGCAAGUUCCGUAAAUUCUCCUCUUCGGCUACUUUCGGCUUUCCCGCUAAGUAACGAGAUGGGACAUCCUAUUGGUGGAAUUCAGGCAGUCCGGUGUGCCCCGCCCCUAAGUUUUGACGUCACAUCCGGUAUUUUGUAGCAUAUAUAAACCGCAGACGCGGUCUUGAAUAGUCCUCUUCGUCCCUUUCUCCGUGGUGAGAGGUAUCUUGGUGAAAUGCAUUCAGAGAUCUUAUCAAUGAUGUCCAAAGUACAGUCGUGGAUUGAGCCUUACAGAGCAAGGAUGAUGGCUAUGACCAAAGAUGCCUCAACACUGGACUUACAGGUCUUAUUCUGCAUGCUGAGGACCUAAACUAUGGACAUCCACAACCUAGUCACUAGUUUCUGGUCACUUUAUGGGACUGGCGUCUUACAACAUGGGGCGGUCUCUUGGAGGACCUGCAGAGAAUGCAAAGACAAAGGAAAAUGGUCCUGAAUGCGUUGCUUAGCUGAACCUGGUCAGCAUAAUGUGAACACACAACUAGGUCUUUACUCUACAAGCUGAGGACUUGGGCCAGUUGUGACUUCUACAUGACAAGGCCUCUAAUGAAUUGCCUUGUCUCUGGAGGUGCAGCCCAUGAGCAAUUACUUGGUGUUCACUUAGUGACUGGAUGAUUGUUUGUGGUCACACUUGUUGGAUGCUGUGAAUAGGUGCUGGAGAGAACCUAUGAUCCACUACAAACCAUCCCAUAUGGUUGAAAGAAAUGAAGAACAAUCUGUCAAGGAGCAGAAAUAUGUGUAAUAAAGUGGAUAUUGAACAUAAAAGCUGUGUUUUGUC